rnacentral:rRNA from 1 species
GAUGAACGCUGGCGGCGUGCUUAACACAUGCCAGUCGAACGAAGCAUUUGCGACAGAUUUUUUCGGAAUGAAGUUGCUUAUGACUGAGUGGCGGACGGGUGAGUAACGCGUGGGUAACCUGCCUUGUACUGGGGGAUAGCAGCUGGAAACGGCUGGUAAUACCGCAUAAGCGCACAAUGUUGCAUGACAUGGUGUGAAAAACUCCGGUGGUAUAAGAUGGACCCGCGUCUGAUUAGCUAGUUGGUGAGAUAACAGCCCACCAAGGCGACGAUCAGUAGCCGACCUGAGAGGGUGACCGGCCACAUUGGGACUGAGACACGGCCCAGACUCCUACGGGAGGCAGCAGUGGGGAAUAUUGCACAAUGGAGGAAACUCUGAUGCAGCGACGCCGCGUGAGUGAAGAAGUAAUUCGUUAUGUAAAGCUCUAUCAGCAGGGAAGAUAGUGACGGUACCUGACUAAGAAGCUCCGGCUAAAUACGUG